GACGAACGCUGGCGGCGUGCUUAACACAUGCCAGUCGAACGGAAAGGCCCUGCUCUUGUGGGGUGCUCGAGUGGCGAACGGGUGAGUAACACGUGAGUAACCUGCCCUUGACUUUGGGAUAACUUCAGGAAACUGGGGCUAAUACCGGAUAGGAGCUCCUGCUGCAUGGUGGGGGUUGGAAAGUUUCGGCGGUUGGGGAUGGACUCGCGGCUUAUCAGCUUGUUGGUGGGGUAGUGGCUUACCAAGGCUUUGACGGGUAGCCGGCCUGAGAGGGUGACCGGCCACAUUGGGACUGAGAUACGGACCAGACUCCUACGGGAGGCAGCGGUGGGGAAUAUUGCACAGUGGGCGGAAGCCUGAUGCAGCAACGCCGGGUGCGGGAUGACGGCCUUCGGGUUGUAAACCGCUUUCGCCUGAGACGAAGCGUGAGUGACGGUAAUGGGUAAAGAAGCACCGGCUAACUACGUG
rnacentral:rRNA from 1 species